rnacentral:rRNA from 1 species
AACGAACGCUGGCGGCGCGCCUAAUACAUGCAAGUCGAGCGAGAAGACGUAGCAAUACGUUUGUAAAGCGGCGAACGGGUGAGGAAUACAUGGGUAACCUACCCUAGAGUGGGGAAUAACUAGCCGAAAGGUUAGCUAAUACCGCGUACGCUCCUUGGACUUCGGUACAGGGAGGAAAGCGAUACCGUGGGUAUCGCGCUCUUGGAUGGGCUCAUGUCCUAUCAGCUUGUUGGUGAGGAACGGCUCACCAAGGCUUCGACGGGUAGCUGGUCUGAGAGGACGAUCAGCCACACUGGCACUGCGAUACGGGCCAGACUCCUACGGGAGGCAGCAGUAAGGAAUAUUGCGCAAUGGGCGAAAGCCUGACGCAGCGACGCCGCGUGGGGGAUGAAGGUCUUCGGAUUGUAAACCCCUUUCGGGAGGAAGAUGGAACGAGCAAUCGUUCGGACGGUACCUCCAGAAGCAGCCACGGCUAAC